rnacentral:rRNA from 1 species
AUUGAACGCUGGCGGCAGGCCUAACACAUGCAAGUCGAACGGUAACAGGAAACAGCUUGCUGUUUCGCUGACGAGUGGCGGACGGGUGAGUAAUGUCUGGGAAACUGCCUGAUGGAGGGGGAUAACUACUGGAAACGGUAGCUAAUACCGCAUAACGUCGCAAGACCAAAGAGGGGGACCUUCGGGCCUCUUGCCAUCGGAUGUGCCCAGAUGGGAUUAGCUAGUAGGUGGGGUAACGGCUCACCUAGGCGACGAUCCCUAGCUGGUCUGAGAGGAUGACCGGCCACACUGGAACUGAGACACGGUCCAGACUCCUACGGGAGGCAGCAGUGGGGAAUAUUGCACAAUGGGCGCAAGCCUGAUGCAGCCAUGCCGCGUGUAUGAAGAAGGCCUUCGGGUUGUAAAGUACUUUCAGCGGGGAUGAAGGGAGUAAAGUUAAUACCUUUGCUCAUUGACGUUACCCGCAGAAGAAGCACCGGCUAACUCCGUG